GAUGAAGAACGUAGCGAAAUGCGAUACUUGGUGUGAAUUGCAGAAUCCCGUGAACCAUCGAGUCUUUGAACGCAAGUUGCGCCCGAAGCCGUCAGGCCGAGGGCACGCCUGCCUGGGCGUCACACGCCGUUGCCCCCCCGCGCCCCGCUCCCAACUCGUUGGGAGCGACCGCGGGGCGGGCUGAUGAUGGCCUCCCGUGCGCUCCGCCGCGCGGUUGGCCCAAAUACCGAGUCCCCGGCGACGUGCGCCACGACGAUCGGUGGUUGAGAGACCUCUGUCGCAAGUCGUGCGCGCCCGUCGCGUCACGCGGGCUCGCAUAGCGCCUCGCGCCGCACCCGGUGCGGAGCUUUCAACGCGACCCCAGGUCAGGCGGGGUUACCCGCUGAAUUUAAGCAUAUCAAUAAGCGGAGGA
rnacentral:misc_RNA from 1 species